rnacentral:rRNA from 1 species
UGGACACCCACGGUUAGGCCAGCCAGAUAAGUGGGUUAUGUGGGUUAUCCCGCGGACGCCGCAUCAAACCCACAUCUCUGCGAUGAUGCAGAAGAGAUUAGGGCGGAGCCGCCGUGGCCGCGGCACCAUCGCCCACUUCCGUCAUGAACACCACAACAUCGCUGUCUACAAGCACCUUACGUACGCCGCAUGCAGGUGGGCUCGAUACGUUGUCGUUCUCCUCUCCAGUUCUUGCCAUCAGUGAGCCCCUAUUGGUUACGCCACCAUCGACCAAGCAGCCCGAGCAGCAGUAGCAGCUGUUCCUGCCAAAAUCGCAGCUGGACGCACGCCGCCUACUCCUCCCCAUGUCCUCGACGUCGUUGUGGCCUAGUCGUACAUGCCUUGAUCCAGUAUGUUUGUAGCCUCUGGACACGCCCUGUACUCUGUACUGCAGCUAGCUUGCAAUUGCUGUGUUUGUCGCUGCGGAGUAUGUGGGCUUGUG